rnacentral:lncRNA from 1 species
UUAUUAUUGUUUGCAUUUCAUUUUAGAAACAGGUUUUUCCUUGCAACUGACUUUUUCCCCUGGUAACCCUAUUUCCUUCCUUCCCUCUCACUUCCCCAGCCCUUAGCCUCCCUCCCCCAAAUUAACUCACAGCCUUUGGGGCCACAGCUGGUAGCUGAGAGGUGACUCUCAGGGAAAGGCCACAGCCCUGCCAAAGCUGCCCUCACUGUGGGUGUCCGUGAGGACUUCUAGGUGUUUUUCUCCCAUCUGGGACAAGGCAGGGGUGAGGUGUGUGUGACAUCUGAUGAUCAGAAGAGGGUGCAGCCUUUUGGGAAGCAGGGGUGCAGGGAACCUAGAGGUCCAGGAGGUGAAUGGACUUCCCUAAGAUCAUUUGGCUGCUUAGUGAUGGACGUAAAACCAGUGUUCAGGUCUCCAAACUGCACCCACCUGUAGAACAGUGGUCCUCAUACUUCACCGUGCAUCCAUGUGGCCUGGAGAGCUUGUUAAGAUGCAUGUUUCCUGACCACACCACCAGAAAGUCCCACUGAAUAGUGGGAUGAAGAACGUGUUUUCUUAACAAACCCUUCAGGGGAGUCAGAUGAUAGCGGUCUCCUCCAACAUCUUCUGAUGCGCUACCACAGUGCAGAGUGCAUUUUUUUCUUGGACCCAUAGGAAAAUGUAUUUGAAUUUCCUGAAGCUACAUCGGUUGCAGUGAGGGGAACAGGUAGAUGCAAACAGUUUGGAAGACGAAUGCAGGAGAGAUUAAAUCCAGGCUUUAGCACACAUUGCAGGAGUUUGUGGUGUGUCAGGAGACUUGGGAUGCAUACUCAUUGGCAGUGUUUCAGCACUAGCUGAAUACAUCCUGCUUUAAUGGUGAUCAUUAAAGGAGCCAAGGACUGAGAAAUGUCUAGCCAUUUUUGGAAGUUUCCAUACGGCUUUGCAGGUGGAAGGGGGCAUAAUCCUGGACAACCUUUAGGUCAUAUGUGACUCAGGGUUCCCAUCUAUAAAAGUGCCUGACAGCAGAAGGUGACACCAGUAGAAGGAGAUAAUGUACUGAACUACACUGUCAGGAUGAUUAGAUGAUAAGAUGCGUGAGAAACACUUUGCCUAGCACCCACUAAAGGGCAGGUUCUCCAUUAUGCAUAAAUACUGGACCAGGCAAGGGCAAGUUUCUGCUUAAUGUCUUCAGUAACAAACUUCUGCUGAAGGUUCCACUUGAGGGAAGAGGUUCUGGUUCUACAGUGAAAGAAAGUGCACAGGUCCAUCCAUCCCAGAGGGGCUGGGACACACCCACCUUCUGGCAUUGUGGUAUGUGCCUAGUACAGUGGUGACUUUCUCUGGGCCUGGUCCACUCCUCCAUCCCUCCCGAUAUCUGUGCAUCUGGGUGAACUUCAGUGACCAGACUGGACAGGUCCUGUUGCUCUCCAUAUUCUAGUAGAGCUUCUCGGCCUUUUGGCUAAGAUCAAGUGUAGAAGUGGAGACUGAGGCCCCCAAGAGCAAAGGAAACUGGUUUUGGGGCCCCUGGGAACUCUUGCCCCUUCCCCUGACUAUCAGAUUUCAAGGCCAGGCUGAGGCCCGGCCCCACACUCCCUUAGGAGCUGGGCCUGCAGGCAAUCAGGAAACCAAUGCCUUGGCCAGCGUGCCACUGUUUGGUUCCGGCCAGGUUUGCUUCAAGUCGGGUCAGCCUGACCUCACCAGGGCUGUAAAAGCCAUCGUAGGCGCAGAGGGAAGAGAAAGGGAGCGAUCCUCGCCUCAUCUGGUUCUGCCAUCAGCCCAGUGAGGGAACAGGCUUGCUGUAGGAAGGAUGAGGGUGCUGUUCAUGUGCAUAGUAUGUGUGUAUUUGCACAUGCUUAGAGUGUGACUAUUUUCAAAACGCAGAUUCAGAGUUGAGUGAAGAGAGGAACCUGUUGAACGCCUGGGCUGGAUGAUGAGAGAGUGCGAAGAAAAUCCUGGAGAAGAUGUCUGUGCCCAUGGCUGUGAAGGGCCCAGGCUGAUGUGAAUGUGCUGCACUGGGCAAGUGAGUUGAGUGUGUGUGGCAGCGGGCGCAUGCGGCACAUGGGCUGUGCGCUGGAGCGCGCUGUGUGUACGCCGCACAAGGAGAGAGCCCUGGUCCAGGAGUCUCACAGUCUGGGAUCAAGUCCCAGCUCAGCAGGCACUGAGCCCUGUGAACUUCAACCCCUGCACUAUCUGGAAGUGAGAAGCCGAGGUUUCUCCUGCUUCCCUGGCC